GUCAUGUAAGGUGUGGCCACUGCAGAGCCUUAAGUCAGAGGCAUGCACCUCCCUGUCAGUCAACCCUGCAGUGUUGACGAAGUUUGAGCAGAGUCCUCCUCCUCUUGCAGUGUAGUCCCUGCUAACAAAACCCUCACGGAUUUGAGAUAUCUCGGCUCCACACCAUUAAAGAGCUCUAGAAAUGAAAACUGAAGUGACCAGCUGCAAAUCCAGGGUGGACCUAAGUACCAGGGAACCCAGGCAGAACACAUUUUGCUGACUCGCAAGGCAGGUAAUCAGAACACAGGCCAAAUAAAUAACUGAAGCAAAUCUGACAGAAAUCUGAACACUGAAUACUGCUGCCACGGGGGAAACAUUUGAGUUCUCUGCUACACUUCACAGGCUUUCGUAACAAGUCAUGCUUUGGGGUCUACCUCCACAGCCCAGACUGUCCAUUAUCUUUGGAUCCUCAUGCCUUGGCCUGUGAAGUUUUGGGAUUAUGGGUGUACACCACCAAGUCUGGACAUCAGGACCUACUUAUGGAGGAAAAAAAAAGGACCUAUGAAGGGAGAAUGAAGAACCGCAGACUCCGUACGAACCAUGUCCAUGCCCUCCUCAUCUAAGGUGUUCAGCUCUUGGCAGAGUGCUUGGUCUAUGCUGGGCCCUCAGAAAUGUGGGUGUGGCCACAUCUGUCACGUGUUCCUCUGAGCCAGGCCCUGUUCUAAGCAUGUGACUUGCAUUAGCUCCUGGAUUUUAACAGAGCUUGCUGAUUCUGAGAAGAAAGUUCCACACCAGUGAACUGUUGAAGAAAUCAGACCAUCUCUUCAGAACUUCAAACACCAAGAAUUCUCAGAAGACCUACUUGUUAGUGGUUGUGAAAAACUUAAUAUAUGUCUGCUCUUAAGGGUGGGGGGAAUCUGUGUUAGUUAGUAAUAACUUCUUAAAAAGAGAUUUCUCUUUUUUAAAUUAUGUGCAUGCAUGUGUGUCUGUGCAUGUGAGUGCAGGCGCCCUCAGAGGACAGAGGCAUCAGGUCUCUGGAAGUGCAGAGAUGUGUUUGUGAGCCCCUUGACAUGGAUGCUGGGAACUGAGUUAGGGUCCUCUGGAAGAGUAGCAAGCUCUCUCAACCACUGAGCCAUCCCUCCAGAACAAGUAAUAACUCUGAACAUGGAGCUGCAGGUCGUGAAUGCAGAGGCAAAGUUAAUACACCACCCUCAACCAAAGCAGAAACAAUUAUAAUAAAGAAUAAAUCUCAUGUCUCUGCAAAUCUAUAAUUAACCACUAGCUCCACACUGUUGUUUAUAUUGAUAUCCUAAAGAAUGCAUGGCAAUUCAAAUAAACAUUAUUCUAGUUCAAAUGUGAA